CAGCCGCCGCGGUAAUACGAAGGGGGCUAGCGUUGCUCGGAAUGACUGGGCGUAAAGGGCGCGUAGGCGGCAUGUACAGUCAGAAGUGAAAUUCCUGGGCUCAACCUGGGGACUGCUUUUGAUACGUGCAGGCUAGAGUGAGGAAGAGGGCUGUGGAAUUUCCAGUGUAGAGGUGAAAUUCGUAGAUAUUGGAAAGAACACCGGUGGCGAAGGCGGCAACCUGGUCCUUUACUGACGCUGAGGCGCGAAAGCGUGGGGAGCAAACAGGAUUAGAUACCCCGGUAGUCCCUGUCUCUUAUAC
rnacentral:rRNA from 1 species